UACGGAGGAUGCAAGCGUUAUCCGGAUUUAUUGGGUUUAAAGGGUGCUCAGGUUGUUUGAUAAGUCAGUGGUGAAAGUCUGUCGCUUAACGGUAGGAUUGCCAUUGAUACUGUUGGACUUGAAUAUGGAUGAGGUAGGCGGAAUGUGUAGUGUAGCGGUGAAAUGCAUAGAUAUUACACAGAACACCGAUUGCGAAGGCAGCUUACUAAUCCAUCAUUGACGCUGAGGCACGAAAGCGUGGGGAUCAAACA
rnacentral:rRNA from 1 species